AGUUGGUGGAGUGAUUUGUCUGGUUAAUUCCGAUAACGAACGAGACCUUAACCUGCUAAAUAGACGCGUUGACUUUUAUCGGUUGGCGUACGUCUUCUUAGAGGGACUGUUGCUGUGUCUAACGCAAGGAAGUUUAAGGCAAUAACAGG
rnacentral:rRNA from 1 species